rnacentral:lncRNA from 1 species
CUUCUGCUAACUGGGAAAAGCCUGAUAGUUCUCCUUAGUCUCAAGAGUAAAGAGUCUUUUUGGACUUGAUUUCUGCCAUAUCAUCACCAUCAGUUUAUAAAUCAGAUUUGUUGUUUGUUUUUUAAAAAUAUUUUCUGCCAUUAUAAAGGUUACAAAAUAGUGUAUCAUUAGUGAUUUAUUGCAUCUCUCCCUGAUGACUGUGUAAAUUGAGAAUCUUUUCUAUUAGUUAUUCAGGAGUUCUUUUCCAUAAACUCAUUCAUUCACUUAUUUAUUUAAGAACUGAAGGGAGUCAAGAGGAAAUGCAAAAUGAACACGAGAACAUAAUGGUAGUGAUUUCAGGGGUGAGGCUGAGAUCAUAGAAGUUACCGUGGGAAUCAUCAGCGUAAACAUGGCACUUACUGUCAUAUAAAUGAUACCACACCAAGAAUGAGCAGGGAGAUAGGAGAAAAGCUUCAAGGCUUGAACCUCAAUGCUUGAAUAUUACAAAGUCUCAGAAAAAGGAGGGAUAGCUACUAGAAAGAGUGAGACAAACCAAAAAGAAGAAAAAAUGAAGACGAUUUGAUGUUUAGGAAGGCAAGAGAAUGCUCCCAGAACGAGGGAGGAAACAUCUGGGUAAAGAUUGCUGAGAAGACAAGAAAGAGGAGGACCAACGUUUGAUCAUUUGAGUUGAUAUUUUGAAGAUUGUGGAUAAGAGCAGCUUUGUUGGAGUGGUGGAAUUCACGGUAGCAUCAAAUGUCUUGAGAUAGAUACUGCUGAUCUCAUGUUUGCUUUGGAUACUUUCAAAGCUGCAAAGUGUGACACAGCCUUGGAGAGGAAGAGAAAAAGUAUCCUGACAGCGGGGAGGAGACUGAGGGAGAGAGAGAGUCCCUUCCUUGAGGACACGCAGGCGUGCAUGAGCUUUCCGUCCAGGAAUCCCACCAGGUUCUGUGGUAAAGAGCAAGAAAAGAUCCUCUGA